rnacentral:misc_RNA from 1 species
GCUGAUGUGUUUACUUCUUGCCUCACUACACCUAUCAAGAUGGCGUUGAGAUGGUUCUGCAAACGUUCAUUAUUACAUGAGUCCCUUGACCAUUCACUAAUAGAUAAAAUUCCUGGUCGACAAAAUGACCGUAAAACACUGCUUGGAGAAUUGAAUUGGAUCUUUACAGCAGUGACAGACACGAUUGCUUGGAAUGUUCUCCCUCAUGAUCUUUUCCAGAGACUGUUCAGACA